UACGUAGGUGGCGAGCGUGUCCGGAUUUAUUGGGUUUAAAGGGUGCGUAGGCGGCUUUGUAAGUCAGUGGUGAAAUACUCCAGCUUAACUGGAGGGGUGCCAUUGAUACUGCGGAGCUUGAGUACAGAUGAGGUAGGCGGAAUUGACGGUGUAGCGGUGAAAUGCAUAGAUAUCGUCAAGAACACCGAUAGCGAAAGGCAGCUUACUGGGCUGUAACUGACGCUGAUGCACGAAAGUGUGGGGAUCAAACAGG
rnacentral:rRNA from 1 species